UGUCUUCAGAAAGCUAAGUGUUGGGAGCAGUGGUUGGGAGAAGGGAAAGGCCUUUGGAGUUCCAGGAGGCAAUUGGAAGUUAGCUUAGAGGAGAGGGCUGUUGUGGGAGGGUCCCUUGGAAGUAAAGGGAGAGGGUUUCUCCUCAGCAUCACCUGAGCCUUUGCUGGGCAGGGCAGUUCCCACCCAUCUCUGUCAUCGGCCUUUGAGUCUCGACAUCAUCGUGGAUCUUUUUGCCCGAGGAGCUCGCCUUCGGAUCUGGCACGAUCGCCACGGUCUCCAUUUUACCUACUCGCUGGCGUAGCCGCCUGCGGGCAUCUUGGCCACUUGCUGGAUGGUCAAAGAGCCUGUUGGAGUGCUGGCCUGGAUUUGGGAGGAGCCAAGUAGCCUGGAGCAGUGAGGUUUUUCCUGUCAGAAAUCCAUGCUGGGGAUGUUUUCCCUGGCUGUCCCAAGGGGAAGGAACAGCUCUGGAGUUUUUGCAGCCACAGGCUGGGGAUGCAUCCCCUGAAAACCAGUUCAGGAUCGGUCAUCUGACUCUGUCCCUGACCUGUGGCUUCCAGGGAGCCUUCUGGUCUUCUGGAUAUUCCCAGGAGAGGAUAUUUCACCACCUGACUUUUAAGCCAGGAAUUCCAAACCCACACCGUUCCAGGGGAAAGCUGGUGAAAGGAUAAAGAUGCAGAGGAACAAGUGUUGUAAACCCCCCUGCCUCCCUGACAAAGCAAACCUUUCUGCAAUCCCAGUAAAUCUCUUGGAGAAGCUGUGGGAUCAUAAGGUUUCCUAGGAAAGGAAAACUAAGGACAGAGAUGAGGAAAGAGGCUUCCAAUUAACAAUGAUUUGAUGGAGGAUGAGGAAGCCAGGCCUGCUGAGGAGGAAGAUGAGGAAGUGUGUGAGGAUGGAGACAGCGGCCACCAAAGGCUGGGGAAGGCACAGAUCCAGAUUUUCACGUGCCUUAAGAGAGCUUUGCGAAAAUGUCGUUAUCCCUGAUUGAGUCUCUGAAAAACAGGGAUUGAAGCUUUCAGAAGGGGCCCAACCCUGCCUGCAUGUAUCCAAGUGCAGCCCCCACUCCCUGUUUUUGUGUACAGCUGGGAUGAGACCUCAGCUGCUGUUACUUGCCAGCUCACAAGUUGUGUAGCUCAGAGCCUCAGCCAUGAAGGGCCAGGCUGUGUUUAAAACAGCCCAAGGUACCAGAGAGCUGGAGUAAUUUCCUAGCAGGUAACUUGACUUGGAAGCUGCAUUCUAAAAUUUGUCCACAUUUAAUUUAUGCCCCACAUGGAGACACCUAAAGAAGCAGAGGUGGGGUGUUCCUAAGAAAAGAGCAUCUAAAUUCUUUGGUGGUAGAGGGCUUAAAAUUAAAGUCUGAGUGGAGGUGCCUUUAGGACACUUCCAUUCCAGUAUCUGAAUGGAAUUU